UACGAAGGGGGCUAGCGUUGCUCGGAAUGACUGGGCGUAAAGGGCGCGUAGGCGGCGAUCACAGUCAGAUGUGAAAUUCCUGGGCUUAACCUGGGGGCUGCAUUUGAUACGUGGUUGCUUGAGUGGGGAAGAGGGUCGUGGAAUUCCCAGUGUAGAGGUGAAAUGCGCAGAUAUCAGGAGGAACACCGGUGGCGAAGGCGGUUCUCUGGGCAUGUCCUGACGCUGAGGAGCGAAAGCGUGGGGAGCGAACAGG
rnacentral:rRNA from 1 species